CCCCUUUUCUUGAACAUCGCAAACACCUAUAUCUGUUAUGCCGUCUUCGGGCGGCUAUGGUGAUAAAUAGGCGGUGAAAUAAACCUAUUGGACCCGGGGGCGGUACCCGGCGCCUCCACCAAAAACCGGUCGUUUCGAUGGACCGGCUUUUGAUGGGGGCGAAAUAGGAUCGACAAGGGCGUAAAGAUCGACUUUUUACCCGGCAUUGUACCACCGUUAUCGGGCUAAACUAGUAGUUGCAAACGACAACUAUGCGGAAGCUCGUCUCGCUGCUUAAUCGCAGUGUGACACUUCAAAUCAAGUCCUAAGGGGUCGCACUCUUGGGCGGGGUCCGAAGGCACCUGGCAACAGAAGCCUUCACC
rnacentral:tmRNA from 1 species